AUUGAACGCUGGCGGAAUGCUUUACACAUGCAAGUCGAACGGUAGAGGGGGCAACCCCUCGAGAGUGGCGAACGGGUGAGUAAUAUAUCGGAACGUGCCCAGUCGUGGGGGAUAACGUAGCGAAAGUUACGCUAACACCGCAUACGAUCUAAGGAUGAAAGCGGGGGAUCGCAAGACCUCGCGCGAUUGGAGCGGCCGAUAUCAGAUUAGGUAGUUGGUGGGGUAAAGGCUCACCAAGCCAACGAUCUGUAGCUGGUCCGAGAGGACGACCAGCCACACUGGAACUGAGACACGGUCCAGACUCCUACGGGAGGCAGCAGUGGGGAAUUUUGGACAAUGGACGCAAGUCUGAUCCAGCCAUUCCGCGUGCAGGAUGAAGGCCCUCGGGUUGUAAACUGCUUUUGUACGGAACGAAAAGGUCUCUCUUAAUACGGGGGGCUCAUGACGGUACCGUAAGAAUAAGCACCGGCUAACUACGUGCCAGCAGCCGCGGUAA
rnacentral:rRNA from 1 species